rnacentral:rRNA from 1 species
UGAAUACGAGAUGCUACGGCGUCGAAGCAGUCUAUGUCAUACUUCCAAGAAAAGCUUGCACUGUCAUAAACAAAUAAUGCCUGUACCAUAACCGACACAGGUGGGUAGGUAGAGUAUACUAAGGGGCGCGAGAUAACUCUCUCUAAGGAACUCGGCAAAAUGACUCCGUAACUUCGGGAGAAGGAGUGCCUUAUUUAUAAGGUUGCAAUAACAAGACCCAAGCAACUGUUUACCAAAAACACAGGUCUCCGCUAAGUCGUAAGACGAUGUAUGGGGGCUGACGCCUGCCCAGUGCCAGAAGGUUAAAGAAGUUGGUUAGCAUCCGCGAAGCUGAUAACUGAAGCCCUGGUGAACGGCGGCCGUAACGAUAACGGUCCUAAGGUAGCGAAAUUCCUUGUCGGGUAAGUUCCGACCCGCACGAAAGGCGUAAUGAUUUGGAUACUGUCUCGGAGAGGGGCUCGGUGAAAUAGACUUGUCUGUGAAGAUGCGGACUACCUGCACCAGGACAGAAAGACCCUAUGAAGCUUUACUGUAACCUGAAAUUGAAAUUGGACUUUACUUGCGCAGUAUAGGUGGGAGGCGUUGAGAAUAUUCUUGCGGGAUUAUUGGAGCCAUCAGUGAGAUACCACUCUUGUAAUGUUAGAUUUCUAACUUUGUAUCAUUAUCUGGUCAAAGAACAGUUUCAGGCGGGCAGUUUGACUGGGGCGGUCGCCUCCUAAACGGUAACGGAGGCGCACAAAGGUUUCCUCUGAACGGGUAGAAAUCGUAUCUAGAGUGUAAAGGCAUAAGGAAGCUUGACUGUGAGACCUACAAGUCGAGCAGGGACGAAAGUCGGUCUUAGUGAUCUGACGGUGCUGAGUGGAAAGGCCGUCACUCAACGGAUAAAAGUUACUCUAGGAUAACAGGCUGAUCUCCCCCAAGAGUUCACAUCGACGGGGAGGUUUGGCACCUCGAUGUCGGCUCAUCGCAUCCUGGGGCGGUAGUACGUCCCAAGGGUUGGGCUGUUCGCCCAUGAAAGCGGUACGCGAGCUGGGUUCAGAACGUCGUGAGACAGUUCGGUCCAUAUCCGGUGUAGGCGUUAGAAUAUUGAGAGGAGCCUUCUUUAGUACGAGAGGACCGAGAAGGACAUACCUCUGGUGUACCAGUUAUCGUGCCAACGGUAAACGCUGGGUAGCUAUGUGUGGAGUGGAUAACCGCUGAAAGCAUCUAAGUGGGAAGCCCACCUCAAGAUAAGUAUUCUCA